rnacentral:rRNA from 1 species
GUUGAAGUUCAGGUAACACUGAAUGGAGGACCGAACCGACUUACGUUGAAAAGUGAGCGGAUGAACUGAGGGUAGCGGAGAAAUUCCAAUCGAACCUGGAGAUAGCUGGUUCUCUCCGAAAUAGCUUUAGGGCUAGCCUCAAGUGAUGAUUAUUGGAGGUAGAGCACUGUUUGGACGAGGGGCCCCUCUCGGGUUACCGAAUUCAGACAAACUCCGAAUGCCAAUUAAUUUAACUUGGGAGUCAGAACAUGGGUGAUAAGGUCCGUGUUCGAAAGGGAAACAGCCCAGACCACCAGCUAAGGUCCCAAAAUAUAUGUUAAGUGGAAAAGGAUGUGGCGUUGCCCAGACAACUAGGAUGUUGGCUUAGAAGCAGCCAUCAUUUAAAGAGUGCGUAAUAGCUCACUAGUCGAGUGACACUGCGCCGAAAAUGUACCGGGGCUAAACAUAUUACCGAAGCUGUGGAUUGUCCUUUGGACAAUGGUAGGAGAGCGUUCUAAGGGCGUUGAAGCAUGAUCGUAAGGACAUGUGGAGCGCUUAGAAGUGAGAAUGCCGGUGUGAGUAGCGAAAGACGGGUGAGAAUCCCGUCCACCGAUUGACUAAGGUUUCCAGAGGAAGGCUCGUCCGCUCUGGGUUAGUCGGGUCCUAAGCUGAGGCCGACAGGCGUAGGCGAUGGAUAACAGGUUGAUAUUCCUGUACCACCUAUAAUCGUUUUAAUCGAUGGGGGGACGCAGUAGGAUAGGCGAAGCGUGCGAUUGGAUUGCACGUCUAAGCAGUAAGGCUGAGUAUUAGGCAAAUCCGGUACUCGUUAAGGCUGAGCUGUGAUGGGGAGAAGACAUUGAGUCUUCGAGUCGUUGAUUUCACACUGCCGAGAAAAGCCUCUAGAUAGAAAAUAGGUGCCCGUACCGCAAACCGACACAGGUAGUCAAGAUGAGAAUUCUAAGGUGAGCGAGCGAACUCUCGUUAAGGAACUCGGCAAAAUGACCCCGUAACUUCGGGAGAAGGGGUGCUCUUUAGGGUUAACGCCCAGAAGAGCCGCAGUGAAUAGGCCCAAGCGACUGUUUAUCAAAAACACAGGUCUCUGCUAAACCGUAAGGUGAUGUAUAGGGGCUGACGCCUGCCCGGUGCUGGAAGGUUAAGAGGAGUGGUUAGCUUCUGCGAAGCUACGAAUCGAAGCCCCAGUAAACGGCGGCCGUAACUAUAACGGUCCUAAGGUAGCGAAAUUCCUUGUCGGGUAAGUUCCGACCCGCACGAAAGGCGUAACGAUUUGGGCACUGUCUCAACGAGAGACUCGGUGAAAUCAUAGUACCUGUGAAGAUGCAGGUUACCCGCGACAGGACGGAAAGACCCCGUGGAGCUUUACUGUAGCCUGAUAUUGAAAUUCGGCACAGCUUGUACAGGAUAGGUAGGAGCCUUUGAAACGUGAGCGCUAGCUUACGUGGAGGCGCUGGUGGGAUACUACCCUAGCUGUGUUGGCUUUCUAACCCGCACCACUUAUCGUGGUGGGAGACAGUGUCAGGCGGGCAGUUUGACUGGGGCGGUCGCCUCCUAAAAGGUAACGGAGGCGCUCAAAGGUUCCCUCAGAAUGGUUGGAAAUCAUUCAUAGAGUGUAAAGGCAUAAGGGAGCUUGACUGCGAGACCUACAAGUCGAGCAGGGUCGAAAGACGGACUUAGUGAUCCGGUGGUUCCGCAUGGAAGGGCCAUCGCUCAACGGAUAAAAGCUACCCCGGGGAUAACAGGCUUAUCUCCCCCAAGAGUUCACAUCGACGGGGAGGUUUGGCACCUCGAUGUCGGCUCAUCGCAUCCUGGGGCUGUAGUCGGUCCCAAGGGUUGGGCUGUUCGCCCAUUAAAGCGGUACGCGAGCUGGGUUCAGAACGUCGUGAGACAGUUCGGUCCCUAUCCGUCGUGGGCGUAGGAAAUUUGAGAGGAGCUGUCCUUAGUACGA